UGGAUUUCUUGUUUUGAUUUUUUUUUAUUCAUUUCUAUUGGACGCCAUCCAAAAAUACUAGAAGAAUGACAUUUAGUCUCUUAGCCACAUUCAAAGGUGUUUAGUGUAAAUUUCUGGGAGUAAGAUCAAUGUCAGAACCAACCAACACAGAUAGUAGCAUUGUGAAUAAGCUGAAAACAUGACACUCGGGGUUUUGAAAAUAUUUUUUCCUGCAACAGAGACAUGUAAUUGCUGUAUGUACAUACUACUCCUUUCUGAUGUCAGUAGCUGUUGCUUUGAGAUGCCAAAAUUUGUCCGCAUUUUCUAGCUGAAAAAUAAAGAAUGGAAACCCAAUGCUGCUUGAUGUGAGUAGGUGCAAUUUGUACUAGAAAAAGCUCGAAGUUAUGAGAUUGGUAGGUAAGGGCCAGGUACUCAUGUUCAGAUGCUCAGCUCCAUGCUAAACAAAAGCUUCAAGUUUUCAAAAAAACAAAACAAAACAAACAACAAUACACCAACAAAAAAAAAAAAAACAGUCUUAUCUAUUUAGGCUAACUCCUAAAAACAAAAUUUUAAACAGCAAAUUUCAGCUUAUUCUUCAAUAUAUGAGAAUUGCUCUGAAGGUAAUGACUCCUAUCUUAUGAUGUUGGCCCACAAUGGAAAAAAAAAAAAAAAAAAAAAAAGGCAUCCACUGACAUUUGCUGAUGCUUACUGAAUGUUUAUGGUGGCCAAACAAUGGUGGUGCGGUGGUGCAUUUUAGCAGUGGCAACAGCAACAUGAAAGAUAAGCCACGUUCCAGUUACAUGGAUUUUCACAAGCACAGCAUCCAGACUCUUGUUCAUUACUGGCAAAAAUGCAUAGCUUACAGUGGUAUCUAUUUUGAGAAAUAGUGUUUUAUAGCUGAGAAUUUUCUCUACUGAAUAGUUUUACUGUGCUCUUUGUAUCUGUUGUAGUUUCCAUGGAAAUAAAUAGGAGGCAUUACUUGUGGAGUGUCCUACGUACAUACACCAUUUAAAUUAGAAAUACAGAAAAAAAAACCAACAGAUAAUUCAGUUUCAGGAUAACCACACUUUGCCAUUGUGGUUAUUACAAUUCAGAAAUAAUUGUGCUUGCUUUUGUCUGCCCCUUCACCCCUUUCAGCUGUGUCUUCUAUGACCACUCAAUUUGAAAAUGCUACAUUCUGGUACAUUAUCUGAGGAACAAAAAUACUUUAUCUGGGCUUACUGCUUUUAUUCAACACCCAGAACAAUCUAUGUCUAUUCCUUUAAGCUCCUUGGGAUGUGAAAAAAUAUGGUUACAUAAAUCUUUGUAAUCCUGAGGGGAGGAUAGCAUAUAAAGAGUUUACUGGCGUUAGGAUUAAGUCUAGUGUAUUACAAUGCAAUCUUUAAUCUGCUAAAAUCUACCUUGGUGUUGCAAGCUGUUUUGUGCUUGUAGAUGAAGUUUUGGAAAUAGGACACAGCUGGCAACACUGAUAGAACACCUUAAAAAAGGAAGAAAAGAAAGAAAAAAGACAAAAUUGGUGAAUCUACUAAUGAACAGAUUUGCCACUGCUCCUUGUACAGUGGACUCUUAUGAGUCUAAAAAAUGACAGAUGAUGGAGGAAAUCCUUGUAACUGAAGCUAGGAAGAAACAGUCACUAAAGUUGAAAACACCGCCAUAGUCACCACAGAAAAUCACAAAUGUGAAGCAAAACCCAUGUAACAUUGCCGUGCAAGCUGCAAGAGUCUUACUUGGUUUUGAGAUUCAUCAAUCCAAAUGAAUGUAACAAAUGAGUCUUAGGUACCUAAGAAAAAUGAAAAAUUCCUCAUGCUGAAAGAGACUUUGUUCUCUUUUGAUAAAUCUGUAUGAAAUGAUAACAUUGUUGCAGUCAUGUGCUACUUCAGAGAAAAAAAAUGGGGAAAAUGGCUAUUUUUAGGCAUUUUUCUAAAGAACACCACAGUUCUACUAUUUGAACUUGUCUAUUCCCAGUCAAACAUUUUCCUGUCAAGCUACACAUGACUUCUGAGUUUAAAGAUUCAAAACCAAUGUAGAUGAGCAAUUAAUGCAUAGGCCUAACUGGGAGAGAGGCUGGGGCACAGGUUUCUAGCUCUGCAGCCUUGGCUAAAGCAUUUUUUGGGCACAGCUAUGUGCUCAGGAAAGAAAACAAAAUAUAAAGAUUUGCUUAAGAGCUACUGUGACCUAUGACAGUUAAAUAUCAGAUUAAAUGAAAAUCUAAUUAGGGCCUUAGGUAUUAAAUACAGUUGACCAAGGGAAGCCAAUUGAUGUUGUCUAUUUUGGAUUUGCGUAAAGCUUCAGAUACUCUUUCUCUCAGUAUCCUUCUGGUCAAAAUGUCCAGCACACAGCUAGACAAAAAAACAUAAAGCAAUGGAUGAGCAACUGGCUGAUGGUAUGGGUUGAAGAGUUAUGUAUAAUAAGCUACAGUAAAUGGGUUUACAUCAGGCUAGCCAGCCACUAGUGGGGUUCCUCAGGGCUCCAUUAUAGGGCCACUUCGCUUUAAUGUUUCCAUAAAUGACUUGGAUGUAGGACUAGAAGGUGUUUUGAGCAAGUUUGCUGGUGACACUAAAUUGAGAGGAGCUGCUCACUCCAUCACAGGUGGCAAGGCCUUGCAGAGAGGUCUAGACAAAUGAGAGAGCUGUGCAGCCACCAACUGCAUGAAGAGCAAGUGCCAGAUUCUGCACUUGGGAAGGGGCAAACCUGGCUAUACAUACAAACUGGGGGAUGAGAUGGUGAAGAGCAGACCAGCUGAAAUCUGUUCUGGUCAUGGUUGACAGCAAGUUUAGCAUCAGUCAGCAGUGUGCCCAGGUGGACAGGAAGGCCAAUUGUAUCCUGGGAUGCAUCAAGCAUGGUCAAGGGAAUGGAUUGCCCCACUCUACAUGGCCCUGGUGCAGCCUCACCUUGAAUACUGGGUGCAGUUUGAGGCACUACACCACAAAAAGGACAUAAAACUAAUAAAAAGUACCCAAAGGAGGGCUAAAAAUAUGGUGACAAGUCUAGAUGGGAAGAGAUAUGAGGAGCAGCUGAAGUCCCCCGGUUUGUUCAGCCCAGAGUAGAGAAUGAGGAGAAACCUCAUUGCAGCCUAUUGCUUCCUCACAAGGGGGAAUGGAAGAGCAGGUGCUAAUCUCUGCUCUCUGGUGACAGGAACAGGACCAGAGGGAGUAGCACGGAGCUACAUCAGGGAAAGGUCAGAUUGAUUGUCAAGAAAAUGUUCUUCAACAAGAGGUUAACAGGCACUGGAAAAGGCUCCCCAUGGAAGUGUAAUGACAUUGAGUUUGCCAGAGUUCAGUAAGCAUCUGGAAAAUGCUCUCAGUCCUAUGAUCUGAUUUUUGGGUAGUCCUCUGUGAAUCCAGGGGUUGGACUCAAUGAUCAUUAUGGGUCUCUUCCAACUUGGGAUAUUCUGUGAUUCUAUACUGUAUCUGAAAAAAGAGAGUUCAUGUGGGCCUUUUCCAUAGCUGAGAGCCCUAUAGGAACCUCACAUAGUGCAUCAAAAAAUAAAUAAUUAAGGUUUUCCCUUAAGCUCUUAAGUGAUAUUCAAAUUCUGAAACUGAAAACUACUGUUUCGAACAAUUCAAAGUCUGAACAAAUUAUUAGACAUCAGCAUAAAAUUCUGUACUUUCCUGGAAUGCUGCCAGGGUGUUGAGUUUUUUUUUUACUUUUUGUUUUGUUUAAUGGAGAUGCAUAUUUUUCUACAGCUAGGGUUGUUCCAUCUGCCCUUGUCAAGCUUCAAAUAUACUAGAGCUCGUUAGAGCUAAAUAUAAGCCUUAAUACACAGACUUAUGUUUAUCUUAUAAAAUUAUGCAAAUUAUCCUGCACAUAAACUGAUAUUUAUCAGUAUUUCUGUUAGAUAAGUUAAGCUUUAAGCAAAAUAGUUCCAGUCUUAGAAGGAAGCUUUAGCAGAAAGGAGUCGUGAGACUUCAGAAUCUACAAGAUUGUAAAGUAGUAGCUUUUCCUUCUUAUUUACUAGUUUGCAUUUCCAAAGCACUACACAAUCGUGAACAAAUUAAUCUAAGGCAUUACAGUGAAUUUUACAGAUAAGGACAUUAAAAGCCUUUAGCAAAUGUUUAAUUGAAAUAACUGCCAUACGUUAAUUCCAAGAAACUUGUUUCAGUAUCAGAAAGAUUUAGCAAACAUCUAGUGAGAGUGAACUCAAUAUGCCCCAGUGCAGAGAAUCUCACAUGCACUACUCUUCUCCCUCAGCUAGAAAGAACUGCUUUGAAAUGACAUCUUAAGAGUAAAUGAGGAGCACACUAAGAAUGGAAAGAAAUUAAUAAUACACAAGCCUAUGGAAUAGACAGAGCAUGUGCAGAAACCAUAUUCUUUAUGGCUGCCCCUUAGGCAACAGCACAGCUUUGCAUGGAGAAAAAGCUUUCACUUCGUCCUCACAGUAGUUCUGAAUCUAACUUCCAAAUCAAAGGAUUUGUACUCCUUUAAGCAAGAGUGACUGUCACCCCCUCCAGAAUGGUAAGUUAAUUCUAAUCACUCAGUAAAAUCUGGCAGAGGAUAGCCUGUGGUGAACUCAAAGGUUUUCUCACAGAACUGUGUUUUAAUGUAAAGCAUCACCGCUUCUGCAUUCUGUCAUCUGCCAAUGGGAAUCCAAUUGCUUCAGGAUCCCUACUAAACACCACUGUCAUAAAAUAAACUUUUAUAUUAAACUUCUGUUCCUGUGCAGUCAUUUUUGUACAAAGUGUCUGGCAUUUAACCAAUUGGUCUUUUCCUGGGUAAAGGUCAUAGAGAAAGAAGGAGGAUGUGAUCCUUCACAUCCAAUUAUCCACAUCUCGAGACAUGUUAUACUGGAAGAUUUUUGCCACAUCUCAUCUAUUAGGAUAACCCUUUCCCUAGCACAAUACAAAACUGUUGUGUUUCUGGAACUGAUAUCCAAUAGUGAUUUCAGUAGAGAAGAGUUGAUGGAAAAAAAAUUAAAUCUACUAGGAAAAAUAGGUCUUCACAUUUCACAAUAACAUGCAUAUUGCUUAUUAGCAGGCAUUUAGGUCAUAUAUGCACAGAGAGUCUAGCAGUCCAGCCGUGUGACUAUCCAGCCAGAAGCACACCAUCAGUUGGGUGGGCAGACACAAGAACGCUUGCACAUCCUCUGUCAGCCUGGUUUGUUUCCAUAGAUGACUUUUUAAGAAAUGUCUCUUAACUGAUACUUUUGGCUUCCUAUGCAUGACAAGGUUAUGUUUGAUAAGUGCAUAAAUACACUACGGUAUUUUAGAUUUCUUGCUUACCCAGUUUUGGGGGACAAAAGAUCUUUGAGUAAAAAAGAAUCUGGGAUAUUUUGAGAAUAUUCUCCAAGGGGGAGAAAAAGGAAGGCAGGUGGCAGAGUGAGAGCUAGAAAGGAGAGAGCAGAAGGGUGAAUAAUAUUAUAUUACUAAUGAAUGAUGGCCUGCUGGUGUGAACUUGAAGUGUUUUAAGAUCCACCCCAUCAAAGCUGAGAUUACCUGAAAAAUAUUUUCCUGAAUCUCUAAAAUAUUCUCAAAGUUUUGUAUUUGCCUCUCAUUCUUCAGGGUAACAUCCUCAAUUUUGGAUUAAAAGUAAAGUAUUUAAUCCUGGAACUGUUGUUUAUUCAGGCAACAAGCUGAAUUUCAGUCUUAUAUUGGUUCUUCUUAAAUAAACAUAGAUGUAUACCUGGAAUACUGAAGAUAUAUCUUGCAAAACAAUGAAUGAUAAUAAACAAUGAUAUGCUAUGAUGAUAAACAGUGAAACUGCUUAGAUAGUAAAUAGGUGGCAUUCCUAAAAGAAGUAAAGCUAGACAUGGACCAGCUUUUGCUUCUUCCUAUAUAUCUGCCCUUAAUAUUUGUGGACUUUUUGUUAUACGUGAAUUUAAUGAGUGUCAUUCUGCACAUUUACUAAGUAAGGCAACAGGCACUGUGCAUAUUGGUCUGUGCUCAGAUAAAAUUUCAGUUAAAACAUAUAUAUGAAUAACCAAAUAUACUCACUACAAGAGCACAUUAAAAAAUGGAAAACAAAAAAACACUCUGUUGAAUACUGUCUGGCUCUGUUUUGUGAAGGCCUUCCCAAAUCCUCUCCUAUCUUCACAAAAUCAGGAUAGCAUAUUCUCUUAUGUCUUAGCAAAAUAAAAAUGAUACCUGGCAUUUCAUCUGCUUAGUUGGCUCUGCUGUUAAGGGAUUUAAUUCCUCUCAGCAGAUAUACAAAUGAGAACAUUUGUCUUAGUCCUAGAGACAGAAUCAUUUAUGUUACACUGCUUCGCAUUAUGUUAAUAAUUUCUAUCCUAAGUGAAGUCACAGGAAGUGUUUGUCACUAUCUCCAAUGGGACUCAAAUUUAUUUGAUGUAUGUUUAGUAUAUAUAAAGUUCAGUCAUUUCACUAGAGUUCUUAAAUUCAUAAUGGAUAACAUUUUUCUCCAAUGCUUUUUUGAAAGGAGGAAAAAAAUUGCAUGCGUGCAUAUUCAUAAAAUACUACCACAGAAGAAUUAGAAUUGUGUACAAUUUGAAAGAGUGCUGAAUUACAGGUGGGGUUAAAACAACUUCACAUUAGUGAAAUAUCGUAUGGUGGCUUUCAUUAUUGAUUCUCUGUCAACAUCACGUUAGUUCUUUUCUAAAUCAGUUCUGUGGCUUGAACUUGAAAAGACCAUGAUGCGGAGUCCACAGGUUCAUUCUAAUUGCUCCUUUUCCUGGUAGACUCCACUGUGCCAGCCUGUCACUCAUCAAGACCAUUUGUCUGUGAACAGACUUAAUUAAGCACCUCAAAUCCAAUUUCUUUGAUCUUUUACACUAUUAAGGAAACACACUCAGUCCAUCAGCUAUGGAGAGUUUUCUAAAGAAAAACCUCCUGAAAACACCCACUGGUGUUAUUCUCCUCUGUUGAAAUAGAAAGUUCAAAAACAAGCAGGUGAAUUAGGAAGGGAAAAUAAAAUAAUUGGAGAGACAACAAAAAAAUUGUUAAAUCCUAAAUAUUCAGAAGAUUUAAGGAGUGAUUUACAGCACUUAUCAACUCUUGCACUUUUUUUCUCUCUCAAGAGAGAAAAAUAUCCAGUAGAGACUUGAUUUAAAUAUAAAUGUUUAGUUACCCUCCUUUCAGAAUUUAGCAGGCAAUUGCAUUUGUUUUUGUGAAAGAGGUAUGCACUUUCAGCAUCCUUUCUCACUGCUCAAAUAUCCAGCACAUUGAUAGAAAUGAUCAGGUGGAAACGCUUUAAAAAUAAAUAACCAGAGUUUCAUGAAAAUAAUUCAAGAGCUGCUUUUGGGCUUUUUUAUUAACAUUCUUGCCAUUUACACUGUAUUGACUUAAUUAUUUUCAGAUAAUAUUUACCUGUGUCUACUCUUAUAAUUGCAUCUUAUGCAAAACUGUUUGCAUUCAUAAAAAGAUCUUAUCUCGCAGCUUUGUGACAGAGAUUAUUCUGCACUCAAUGGCUACUCACUGCACCAUCAACCAGAAACCAAAUUCAUAAUAUAGAUUGUUGUGAGUAAUAACUUUUAAGGAUUUUUUAAUAAUUAAUUUAUUAAUAAUGAUUUCAUUCCACACUGGGAAAUAAGUUAUUUGUAUUUUAGAAAAUACUGCUGCUAAAGGUGUUUUUCUGAAAGAAGAUCACUAGCUAUAGUUCAUUCUAUUGUUGUCAGGUAUUUUUCAUGCCUUGUUAGCUAAUUUCCUCUUCUUACUGUCAGUUAAAUAUUUUCCAGAAUUUCAUGGUUAUGGAAUGGAGAUCAGACUUCUGCAGCCAUAUCUGAAGAGCAGCUCCUGUGUGACAAACACUUAACUGGUUAAAGAGUGUUUUACAACUCUACGUAAGGCUGAAUUAACCAGAUAAAUAUUCAGGCCUAAACAUGGUCAUGGUACAAAGUUGAUUUGAAACAGAUAAAAAUUGCUAAUUCGAGCUUUGUGAAAACUUUACACAUAUAUUUGUAUAUAAAAUAUUUAGUUCUCUCUUUAGUUUGAGACUAUUUCUUCUAUUAACAAUUCAUUAUGGUCUAUGUAACAACAUACGUAAAUGAAGUAGAAAUGUCUUCAGUGACUACUGGGAUUGCUCAGUCUGGAGAAGAGGCUCAGAGGAGACCUUAUUGCUCUCUAUAGCUACCUGAAGGGAGGAUGUCGUGAGCUGGAGGUCGGCCUCUUCUCUCAUGUAACUAGUGAUAGGACUAGAGGGAAUGGCCUCAAGUUACUCCAGGGAAGAGUCUGGCGGGACAUUAGGAAAUACUACUUUUCUGAAAGAGUCAUCAGGUGCUGGAAUGGGCUGCCACCCAGAGAGAUGGCGGAGUCACCAGCCCCGGAGGUGUUCAAGGAAUGUUUAGACGCUGUGUUGAGGGACAUAGUUUAGUGAGAACUAUUGGUGAUAGGUGGACAGUUGGACUGGAUGAUCUUGUAGGUCUUUUCCAAUCUUAGCGAUUCUAUGAUUCCAUACUUCAUUGUAUACUACGAUUAUAACUAUCCUCAGACAAAAAAAAAUUAUGUGGCAAAUGUAGUACAUUUCCUAUGUUCCUUUUAGAAGCACUUUUUUGUCCUUCAGAAAACAAAAAUCAGAUUUAUUUUAGAGUUUACUUUUCUUAAAUUCCUAUCAGAUAAGACAGAUAUUUAUGCUAGAAAGUAGUAUAGAGUUUAUUUAAUUACUUUUCCAGUUUCUAUUCUCUAUUCUAUUUCAGUUCUCUCUCAGAAUAUAAGGUACAUUUGGAAGUUUGAAGAACUGUAGGACAAAACUUAUGAUGAAAGCUGAAAACUGGCAUUAGAUUUUAUUAAAUAAAUCAUCACUGCAAGAAGGUAGAAAUAAUCCUGAGCAAUGCUGUAAAUUCCACGUAGUCUCAAUUUGUUCUCACUUCAUUUUGCAGUAGUAUUCACAUGUGCUAGCUCAUAAGAGUUGAUAUCACUGUUAGUUAUUGCUGUGCUUUCUUCUAAUUACCACCAAAUUGUGACCACAGCAAACUACAUAUGUUUUUUAAAAUAUCACUCUUUUAGUUCUUCAUCCUUGAUGCAAACAUGAUGAGAAAUGUAUCUAUGCUUAUUAGGUGUCUUACAGCAAGGCAAAGUUACCCAUAUUAAGUCUCAGGAGAUAGGACUUUCUUCUGACCCAGAUAUUUACAAAACUGGAAGUCAAAGUACAGCAACAUGAGCAAUUGGACAAGUCAUCAGUAAGAGCUAAUGAGAAACUGUGUAAAAUGACAUAAUUCUAUUGGAUACUGAGAUGGUAUCAUUAGUAUGUAUUAAAAGACUCAGAGAGGGUUAAAUUAAGAAAUGAUGUGCCACUUUUCAUUAUCCCAAGGAAGUCCUGUAUACAGUAUAUCAUUAGAAACUAUUUACUGAAGCAAAAUAUCAAGCACACAUUGUGUAUCUCUUGAAUCAAGAUGUCAUAAAUAAAUAUUUUCAAGACAAAAUAAGCAAACUUGCACUUCAGUAGGCCAUGAAUCUGACCUCUUUAUCAUGUACUUCAAAAUAAAAUCACUGACUUCUUUUUUUUAACAGCCUUUGCUCACCAUCCACUAGAAUUUUCUGACAAAAAUCACCACAAGGGCUCUGAGUUAAGGCGGGCUGAGCUAGCUGACACAACCAACUCUGAUUUCCAUUCAGUAUUCAGCUAGUUCCAGUCACCAAAGGGUCUUAAAUUAAGGUAACAUGAGAUAAGAGGGAAGAUCCUCACUGGGAUAACUAACUAAGAGAUUGGAAACAAAGAGCUUCAAUAAAUGGUCAAUUUUCUCAGUGAAUAGAAGGCACCAGUGGUAUCCCACAGGGAUCUUCACUGGGGCCAAAGCUGCUCGACAUGCUCGGGGCUGAUCAGGAGAACAGAAUGGAGAGCAGAUUAAGUUUGCUGUUGCUACCAAGUUUUCAUGGUAAGAAAAACAGAAACUGACUGCUAAAAAGAGAGUUGAAGAAAGACUCUGUGGCACUGAGUGAUUGGGGAUAAAAUGGCAGACGACAUUCAGACUACACAAAUGUAAAGUAAUGAACUUGGCAAAAAACAGCUCAUGCUGUGCCCAGUGAUUGAUUCUGAAUUCACUGCUACAUCAGACAAAAUAACAGCCUUAUGAAAAUAUCAGUUCAGUAGCUCAGGAAUCAUUAUCAGAGGAAAAUCUCAGAAAAUGUAAUGUUUUUGUGCAAAGUCAAUGCUAUGAUCAUAUCUUGAUUGUUAUGUAUAAUUCUGGUCCUUUCAUCUAGAAAAAGCACAGAGUAGAAUUUGAAAAAAAGGUGGACAAAGAUGAUCAAAGGUAACCAAAUAACUCACACAGAAGGGUGAUCUGUAAGAGCUGGGGCUCUCAAUCUAGAAAAGAGCCAACACAGAAGCACGUAAAAAUCACAGCAGACAAAUAGGAGAAUAAGGGAUAAACGAGCUGCCUCUUGCAUUGCAACAGGAAAGCCUCAGCUGGAAAUGAGCAUGUGGAAGUUCAACAUCAAAAACCAGACUGUGCACAGCUCAGUCAAACCUCUCUAAGCCUUGGCCAGUGAACAUCACUGAGUUGUGAAGAUUAUUCAUUUUAAAGAUCAAAGUGAACAAUUGCUUGAAGAAGCUCCAACUAAGUCCAUUAACAUUCCUUUUCCUGGGAAUCUCUUUUUGUACAAAGCUCAAAAUCCAGCCAAAAUCAUCAUGCAUUCAAGUGAUCAAUGAAUGAGCACUACAUACGGCAAUGAGGUAAAUGUUUGGGAAUGACAAAAACUAGGUAAGUAAGAAAAGGUACACUGCUCUCCUAUUAGCACAUUUCACAUUAGAGAAGGAUUCCAAGCAGCUUAAAAACAGAAAAUUAUGCCACAAUUUUGCAGAAUAAGAAAAAAUCACUGCAUUGCUAAGAGAAGUUUAAGUGUUGCAUGCAAAUCUUCACGACAAUUGAUUCGUAAGUAUGUUUUACUGCUCUGUUGUUGUGUUGUUCUCACUGGCAUUAAUUUGUGUUUUCCCGGGUAACUUAGAAUAAAAAAAUGACUACAGGUAAAAGAUCAGAAGGUAAAGAUUAGAGUUCUUUUUCCAACAUGAAUCCUGCCCUUUAUCAUUUAUGGAUAAGGCGGUGUUGCUCAACAAACAGCAUGGGCAUUAGCAGGUUAAUGAGCACAUACUCAAUGUUUUUGCACACCGUCUGAUGCUUGCUGUACAAAAUGCAAACUGUGAAACACAAUGUAAUAAUUAGUUUUGUCUAUGUUAUUCUAGAGAACUCAUCACUAUGGUAUCUAAUUUAUUCACAAACAAAUUAAUUUUCACCAUGCUCCUCAGGGACAAGCAGGGCCAAAGUGCUGAAAGUAGUCAGUGUUAUAUUAGGAGGCAGCCUUCAUCCAAUAAUUUCCUUGCUUCUGAGUGCUGGAUUUUGAAGCCAUAAGCACAAGUUUCUGAUUCGAUAAACACAAGGUUUUUGAUGCUUAGAUUCUAAUGUGUGUGUGUUUAUUUUUCAAGGCAAUGAAGUUUAUAUUCAUUUCAUGAUCAUUUGCCACUUGAUUACAUGGAGUUAACUCACAGAGGAACUGCCUUUCCAAAGUUUCCCAGUCAAACUUGUAAUUAAUACUCCCCUCAUUUUGACUGAACUAUUUUGCUUUUUAAGAGAAGAGAAGGCACGAACAUCACAACUUUCUGAUCAGAAUUUUCUGCUCAACUUCAGGACGAUACAAAUACUGGUCCUAUUAAUUUGUAAUUGAUUUAGAAGAUAAUCUUCAACAUUUACAAACUGCCAGUGAAAAUAGCGUAAGGUUCUGACUGCUGCAAGUAUAUACCUAAAUUUAAAAAUCUUGCCUCUGUAGUUGAUAUUAUUGAACUUCUCUGUACUAAGUUGUCUUCAAUUGCAUCUAUAAUGUAACUUAUUCCUAAGUAUUCUUUUUGCUAAAGAAAGGAACCCACUGAAAGACAAAACACUCACAUCAUCCUUAGCACUUGAGUGCCAGCACAUUUUCCUGUGUGCCUGGUUAAUAGUAUUUCUUUCCCGGAAAAAAAAAAAAAAAAAAAAAAAAAAAAAAAAAAAAAAAAAAAAAAAAGGAAUAAAAAUAUAAAAAUAUACUAGAUUUGCAGAACGGACAGCAUGAAAUUUAGUUUUAAAGGCCUGUUUUCCAGUCCCUGUUAUAGCAACUUAACAUGAUCCUAAUUUUUUAUGUUUUUUAAAUCUAAUAAACUAAAUCCCUGAAAAUACGGUAGAACACAAAGGACUUCUAGCUUAAAGCAUCCAUUAGUCAAUCAGUUUUGCUUUGCUGGGUAAACAGUCUUACCUUUUUGAAAACAAGGAAGUUUAUGUUAUAAACUCCUCUUGAGAGAACAGUCAUUACUACAAUUACAUUUGACCUUUGUUGCUUCAAUUCCAGGGAAAAUAAUCGCAAUUCACAGAGUUAAUUAAAAAUACACAAUGCUGCAGAAAAAAAAAAAAAAAAGAAAACUGUUUGAAAAUAGACAAAAUUGUAUUCAGUAUCUAAAGCUCCAGGUGCAUCUAUUUCUUAGAUGAUUAGAUAAUUUUAAAGUAUCUCUGCUGUUGUAAUUACAGAAGUAGUUAUUAUUCUGCAGUUUCUCAGUUUUUUAGCCACUUGAAUACUAUGGUUUUAUUCUUCUGUAAAAAUCACAUCUCUUGACAAAUUAAGUGUUCCAUAGACUGGCCUGAACUGGAACUCCACUAUUUGCAUGUCACAGUUUUUCCAGAUACUUAAGUGUAUGUGCUUGUGUAUCUGCGUACACAAAUAGAUAUACAAGUUCUCUAUGUUCACCUUGAAACUUAACCGUUAGGUUUAAUGUAGACUCCAAUGCAAUGCAACACUAAAAUACUCAAUUUGCUUUCUCUUAAGAGAUUUAAAAAUAUAAGAAUAUGAAUUAUCUAUCUGCCCUAUUCGUGGAGGCUCCUGACUAUUUUGUAACUUUAUAAACAAUAAAUUCUAAAGUAACAAAUACAAGAGUUACAGCCAAAGGGUUUAGUCACAAUUGUGAUCUUGAUAACCAUGUUCACUUGAUAAACCAGAUACAGUGCUUGUCAAGGAAAUUUAUAACUGCAUACUGUGUGCACUAUAUCAAAGGGCAGUGCACUCACAGGACUCUAAUGAGGAAGUAAACAAUGCUGAGGGUCAGAUCAGUAGGCUGCAACACGCUGCUCUCCACAGAGAAAAUAAUGGCUGAAUUAAAUCCUGUAUUUGGUAGCAGCGCCACAUGAAGGAACAUAUUUUACUCUUUAGACAUAUAAGCUGUUCUAGAAAACCAUUUCCUGGCUUAUUGUCACACAGGUCUUCUAUUGAUCACAACAAAAACAACACUGUGAUUGAUCCUUCUUGCUGUAGUAUUUCCAAUAUGCUCAUAAACUAAAAGUCCAGGUACCAUUUAUGUUGAAGUUAAUGGGACGAUAUGCUUGAGCCUAGGUUACUCAAUCUAUGUACAGUUUAAUAGAACAGAGUCUAACCUCUUUAUGUCUACUGGUUUUGCUGCAAUGGAACAGAUUACUUAAAUAGUACUGCAGAUAAAAAUACUACUUGAUAAUGCUGCUUAGAUAAACCUUUCACAGUGUAUUCACAUCUCCACUGAAUCAUACUGACCAUGUAAGUUUUUACCUCCUGGCUCUAGGAGAAGAGUGGCUGUCAUAUUUAUCACCACUGUGUUCAAUGUCCAACCUUUGUUAUUUCAAGCCCUGUCUCCUUUCCUAUCAGGCUGUGCUCCAUGUCACGUAUUUAUGCUUCUCCUUGAGCUUCACUGUGAUAACUGAGAGGUUUUUAUUCCUCUUAAGAGUUUAGCUCUCCUGUUGAGACACAUCCUAGGCAAACAUGCAAACUUUUCUCUAAAUAAAACCAGUCUUUGCUUGAUCGAACUUAGCACAUUAGCAUGAAACUCAACCAGAAAUGGAAAUUCAGGAGGAAAAAGAAGGAAAAAAAAACACCAGCAAACAAACAAACGAAAAUGCAUACCGUGUAGUUAUCAAUAAAGCGACCACUUUACUCUUGUAUAUUCCUUAAAUCUGUGCUUAGUUCUCUGAACCUGAUGUACAUAUGCAGUUCCCUGCUUUUCUGCUGCAAGGAACCAUUUGACAGGGACAGCCAUGUAGUUCCUUUUAGGUGUGCAACAUGAAGUGCUGCUAGAAGGAAAGACAAACCACCUUCAUCAGCAGCGUAAGGCUAAUCUCUUUCUCAAGAUCUCCAAGCUCUGUGAUGCUUAGGAAACAAAGCUGAGAAAAUAAAGUUAAUAUUGAAAAUCUAAUUUUUUCUUGGUUAAAUAAAAGGAGGAAGUACAGAAAAUGGCAGGAAUGCCAGAUAACAUCCAACGGGUACUCAUGUGCAUACCUUCAUUAAUGCAUUCUCGGGACAUAAAAAAGCAGUAGCAAAUGCAAAUGGUAUGUACAGCACAGCCUUGAUUUGAAUGGAAAGGUGCAAGGCAGCCAUAAUUUCAUGUAAGUUCUAUGAAAUGAUAUAUGGCUUCAGGAUCUUCUGACUGACCAGUAAAAGAGAGGACUUCUAAUUUCUUUCAAUCUAUCUGUCAAAAAUCCAACCCUGUAAUUAUAUGUGGAGCAGUGGGAGUGUGGAAAUGAAAAUAAGGAAAGGAGAAGAAUUGCGCAGAGAAAAAAGAAUUGAAGCAAAUGUGGAGUGGAAUUGCUUGCAAUUUUACCAUAAGUUAAAGGAUUUUAUUCAGCAGUACACUGUAAUUUUAAUUCUGUUUUUCCUGCCAUAUACCAACUCUUGAAGAAGUUACAGAAACAAUGGGAAUUAUCGUCAUAUUCAAUUCCACCCUGAAACAAACUCCUUCACUUUUAGCUAAAUUCAGAGGUGAGAAAAAUAGACAGCUCUCCAACAUUAGUUUCGCUUUUUAUUCAUUUGUUUCAACACUUCGUGUAUUUUUUUAGUAAAAUCAUAUUUGGCCUCAACCUUACGAAUUUUAAAUAACAUUGGAGCACUGUCCCAGUUGUUUUUUACAGGCUAGAUAUGAUGAGGAUCCCAAGUAUUCCUGUUAACCAAGAAUAAACUCUAGGAAUUGGAAAACAGUCCAAGUCUUGGUCUGCAGCAUUAGGUUUAUUUGCAGAGAAAUUCAACUGUAUUAACAAUUCCUCCAAUACUCUGUGGCUCUGAUGAACAUUUCAGGGAAGGUAGUGUGUAUGUUUUCACUUUUUCUUAUACAAUGGAAACAGCAGUCCUUUCAUCAAGCACAAACUACAGUACUCAUGACAUGUGGCUAUCCCCAGCCCAAAAUACAUGUCAGGGAAGGGCAGUCAGAAAGGACAGGAGAACAUUAACAUGUGAAGAAAUCCCUCCCAAGCAGAAAAGGGCAAUGCUGGAUGUGAAUAUAUGAUUAUUAAAACCGCUGGAAUGUCAAAUGUAGAACUGACUAACUUCAGGUGAGAAAAUAACUCUUUUCUGGUAACUUCACUGUUUCAAAAAAGAGUGUGAGACUUGAGAAUCAAAUUGAAAUUAGGGUAUUUUACCAGUAAUUAAUCUUGAGCAGAUUUUUCCAAACAGUGUGAAUCUUCGGUUAAAUUCCCAACUUCUUCAGUUUGUCUUUACGCUGUUAAUCUUUUUCUUUUUUCUUAGAACACCAACUCAUGGUGGCAGUUAGGAAGGAUGCAAUAGUGAUUUAAAAAAAAACUAAAAUCCAUGUAUACGUAUACUUGGAAAGCACAUCGUCAGCUAAUAAUUUUGAUUGUAUUUUAAACUUGAUCUGAAAGCAAGGGCCAUUCCUUUGAAGUAAAGAAACUUGUUGACUACAAGACCAAUCCAGUUUGCUGACAACAAAUUUUGAGCUGAUAGUCUUUGCUCAUGACAAAAUCCAUGCACACACAAUCUGUACAUUAAAUAUUAUUUGGAAUGGAAUUUUCAAUAAAUGCAAGGAAAUUGAAAGUUCUAUAUAAAUCAGCCUACAAGGAAUAAAAUAUUUAUAAUAUACUUGUCUCUAAUAAUUCACUGGUUUAUUUUUUUAGUCAUUAUGUACAUUCUUCCCAGAAUUGGAUCUGAUACAAUACCUCUGACAAAGGGAUUCAUAGCAAAAUGGUGCUACAGCUGCUUCUUUUAAACUCACCUAAUUAUAAGCUCCAGAUGUCUUUCCUUUCUGGAGACUCAAAGACAACUCUAAUUUUAUUCACACAUACUGCUUGUCUAGGAUCAGGCUACACUGCAAUUCUCUUCUACCUAGAAAACAGAGCUUUGUUUACAUUUGCACCAUUGUACGUUCUUUUGAUUUUUCUAGUUUUUUCUGAUAUGCAUAAAAAUACUGUAUAUUCAUGCUAUGAAUAUAAAUAUAUUCAGAACGGCUGCAAAACACCACAAAGAAUUAUUGUCUUAAAGCUGGCACUGAUUUCAAGCAUAUAGAACACUCACUACUAACAACCAGCAUUGCUAAGGAUCAGGGGUAAAUUGACCUGAUAAACAUCCCAAAUGCAUCACUUAAUUUCAGCAUCACACUUGAGUGGGAAAAUGCAUUCGUUCUUCUACAACAAAACUACUUUUGGACAAUGUAUAGGAAAAGUUAAUUCCAUAAACAACAUGCAAACUGCUUUUUUUUUUUUUUUUCAUCUUAAUUUAGAUGAGCUUAUUUUACAUGCAAAAAAAAAAAAGAAUGCAGCUUUCACUAAAACGUCAAUAUACAGCAUGUUCUUUGCUGACAACCAAUGGAAUAGUCCAUACAUCAAAUGUAUGGACUGGCUCUUCUCCUUCCUCGAUUUCAGUUAGUUCCACAAAGACAAAAAUGUUG
rnacentral:lncRNA from 1 species